rnacentral:rRNA from 1 species
AACGAACGCUGGCGGCAUGCCUAACACAUGCAAGUCGAACGAGACCUUCGGGUCUAGUGGCGCACGGGUGCGUAACGCGUGGGAACCUGCCCUUAGGUUCGGAAUAACUCCCCGAAAGGGGUGCUAAUACCGGAUAAUGUCUUCGGACCAAAGAUUUAUCGCCUUUGGAUGGGCCCGCGUUGGAUUAGCUAGUUGGUGGGGUAAAAGCCUACCAAGGCGACGAUCCAUAGCUGGUCUGAGAGGAUGAUCAGCCACACUGGGACUGAGACACGGCCCAGACUCCUACGGGAGGCAGCAGUGGGGAAUAUUGGACAAUGGGCGAAAGCCUGAUCCAGCGAUGCCGCGUGAGUGAUGAAGGCCUUAGGGUUGUAAAGCUCUUUUACCCGGGAUGAUAAUGACAGUACCGGGAGAAUAAGCUCCGGCUAACUCCGUG